rnacentral:rRNA from 1 species
CGGCGGACGGGUGAGUAAUGCUUAGGAAUCUGCCUAUUAGUGGGGGACAACAUUCCGAAAGGAAUGCUAAUACCGCAUACGUCCUACGGGAGAAAGCAGGGGAUCUUCGGACCUUGCGCUAAUAGAUGAGCCUAAGUCGGAUUAGCUAGUUGGUGGGGUAAAGGCCUACCAAGGCGACGAUCUGUAGCGGGUCCGAGAGGAUGAUCCGCCACACUGGGACUGAGACACGGCCCAG